AACCAGCUCUUCAAGUGGUCGGGAUGAUUAUUGGGCUUAAAGUGUCCGUAGCCGGUUUAGUAAGUUCCUGGUAAAAUCGGGUAGCUUAACUAUCUGUAUGCUAGGAAUACUGCUAUACUAGAGGGCGGGAGAGGUCUGAGGUACUACAGGGGUAGGGGUGAAAUCUUAUAAUCCUUGUAGGACCACCAGUGGCGAAGGCGUCAGACUGGAACGCGCCUGACGGUGAGGGACGAAAGCCAGGGGAGCGAACCGGAUUAGAUACCCGGGUAGUCCUGGCCGUAAACGAUGCAUACUAGGUGAUGGCCCGGCCAUGAGCCGUGUCAGUGCCGUAGGGAAACCGUUAAGUGUGCCGCCUGGGAAGUACGGUCGCAAGGCUAAAACUUAAAGGAAUUGGCGGGGAGCACCACAAGGGUGAAGCCUGCGGUUC
rnacentral:rRNA from 1 species